CGGAGGGUGCAAGCGUUGUUCGGAAUCACUGGGCGUAAAGCGCGUGUAGGCGGCUAUUUAAGUCUGAUGUGAAAGCCCUGGGCUUAACCCAGGAAGUGCAUUGGAUACUGGGUAGCUCGAGUACCGGAGAGGAGGGUGGAAUUCCUGGUGUAGCGGUGAAAUGCGUAGAUAUCAGGAGGAAUACCGGUGGCGAAGGCGUCCCUCUGGCCGGAUACUGACGCUGAGACGCGAAAGCGUGGGGAGCAAACAGGAUUAGAUACCCUGGUAGUCCACGCCAUAAACGAUGGGUACUAGGUGUUCGGGGUAUUGACCCCCUGAGUGCCGCAGCUAACGCAUUAAGUACCCCGCCUGGGGAAUACGGCCGCAAGGUUA
rnacentral:rRNA from 1 species